UCACUUCUUAGGUGCGUAAUUCUACUUGGUCUAUGUUGCCUUAAAUUUUCCUUAUUCUAAAUUAAAUUCAUCUCAUUUUCCACAAACACACUCUUCUUCCAACACUUUUGCUCAAGUUACAACUAACGUCCUAAACUCUUUGACUCAAAUACUCAGGGUUAACUCUGAGUUUUCCUUUUCCCUCAACCUUCAAUAUGUACAGGACAUUUGUUAUGCUUUGACCAUGCUUUCCAUAUUUGGGGAUUUCUGCUCUUUGAGACCCACCUCAAGGUGAAAGCCUGAAACUUUUACCAUAGCCUUUCAAGGGCUUGUGACCUAAACUCUCACAAUCAGACACAGCCAUCAGAGACUUAAAUUUAGAGAGAAUAAAGUGAAUGAAAACAUGACAUUUAGAAUUGAUUAAGGGUGGCAGAGUAAUUGAGCUUUCAGAAACAGUAGCGGUGGAGGUGCUGGCUGAAGCUUCUGUUCCCAUGAUUAUUUCAACGACCUGCAGUGUUUCCUCUCUAAGGUGACAACAGCAUCUGCACCUCUUAAAAACUGCUGCUUAAUUGAGGCAAAUUCAAAGUCAGUGUCCUUACAGUGCUCUACAAGGCCUGUUUAUGCUUCCAGUGUCAUUCAAGGGCACUCCUGUCUUGCUUACUGUGUUCCAAACACAGUGGCCUCCUUGCUGUCCCUUGAACCUGCUUUCCCUCCAGGGCCUUGCUAAUUUCCCAUUUCCUGCUAGCAUUCUCCCCAGGUAUCCUUAUGGCAGGCUCACUCCCUUCCUUCAGUUUUCUUCUCAAGUCACUUGAUCAGAAAAGCCAUUCCCUUCUUUGUAAAAGAGCAAUCCUCUUACUCCCAACCUAAGCACUCUCAUUCCCCUUAUCCUGCAUAUGUUUUACAUUCUUUGCCACAAAUAUAUCAUAGGUUUCUUGUUCAUCUUACUCUAUAAAAAUGUUUAAUCCAAGUAGGCUUGUUUUAUUCAUAGCCAUAGUUUUAUCCUGUCUGGCCUGCAGAAAUCAUCAAUAACUAUUCAUCCAAUAAAUGGGUGAAAGGAUGAAUAAGUAUUUUCCUAGAUGUUUGAACUGCCUAUCUAAUAAAGUUCCUUUUUACUUUUCUAUCAAAAAUGAAACUUGAUUUUUUCAAAGAUUUUUAGCUAAUGCACAAUCUUUUAAUAGAACUAACAUAUUAACGCCAGAAUAUUCCACACCAUAUCAUGUCACCUCCUUUCUAUUCCUUUUUUUAAGUCUAAAUUAGGCCCUAUUUCUUAUAGCCUGAAUUAUAGCAACACACUAAAACUAAUCUUCUUCCUCCAAUAUUAUCCUAUCUUGAUUUAUCCCAAUUAAUCCUCCUAAAACUCUAAGUAUUUCUAAUACCAAGACAACUUGCCAAUAAAAUGGGAUGGUGAUAGAAAAUUAAAGUAGCUUUUGAUUACUGAAUGCAUUAAAAUACUAUUUAGUUUAUAUUUCAAAUGGCUACUUUUGAAUCAACUAUCAAAAGUUAUUCGAACAAACAUUAGAAGUGGUUUUUGUUAAAAAAAAUAGAAUGAUGAUAGAACUAUUUUAUAAGAACUUAUUCAGUGUCCAUUUCUAGACAUGUGCUUAAAAUUUCAUUCCUUACUCUUUGUUGUGGAUUGAAAUGUGUCCCCCUAAAAGAUAUUUUGAAGUCCUAAUCCCUAUACCUUAGAAUCUGACCUUAUUUGGUAAUAAUGUCUGCUAUUGAUUUAAUGUUUGUCUCCUCCAAAACUCAUGUUAAAAUUGAAUUAUUGAGGGAGUGGGUUCACCCUGUCUUACUCUCUUUCUCUUUGUCCUUUUGCCAUGUCAUGUCUUCUGUCAUUGUGAUGAUGAGCAAGAAGACAAUGGCCAGAUGUAAGCGUUUUAAUCUUAGAAUUCCCAGCCUCCAGUAUGGUGAGGAAAUAAAUUUUGGCUUUUAGUAAAUUACCCGGUCUCAA
rnacentral:lncRNA from 1 species